rnacentral:rRNA from 1 species
AGUGAACGCUGGCGGUAGGCCUAACACAUGCAAGUCGAACAGCAGCACAGUAAGAGCUUGCUCUUACGGGUGGCGAGUGGCGGACGGGUGAGGAAUACAUCGGAAUCUACUUUUUCGUGGGGGAUAACGUAGGGAAACUUACGCUAAUACCGCAUACGACCUACGGGUGAAAGCAGGGGAUCCUCGGACCUUGCGCGAUUGAAUGAGCCGAUGUCGGAUUAGCUAGUUGGCGGGGUAAAGGCCCACCAAGGCGACGAUCCGUAGCUGGUCUGAGAGGAUGAUCAGCCACACUGGAACUGAGACACGGUCCAGACUCCUACGGGAGGCAGCAGUGGGGAAUAUUGGACAAUGGGCGCAAGCCUGAUCCAGCCAUACCGCGUGGGUGAAGAAGGCCUUCGGGUUGUAAAGCCCUUUUGUUGGGAAAGAAAAGCAGCAGGUUAAUACCCCGCUGUUCUGACGGUACCCAAAGAAUAAGCACCGGCUAACUUCGUG